GGGAAGGGCUCGCCGGGUGCCAAAUGAGCUGUCCUAACUCUGCGGGGCUGCAGCUUCCUGCAUGAUGCUGGGGAGCUUGGCGCCUGACCCAGGAUCUAGAAGGCACUCUGGGCAGGCCGCGCUCCGCCCACGAAGGUACCCAACCCUCUGGGAUAGAUGCAGGAAGCGAUGGUUAAGACCCAUUUUCACCCAACUUCUCGCCGCAGGUCUGGCUUACCACACGCUCCUCCCCAUUCCCAGUGAGCCGCUUUUUGCAGCACCAGGCGAACACUUACACCAGUGCUUUGUAAAGGAAUCUUAUUGUCCACCCCGUGUCUUGGCAAAAGAACAGUGAUCACACAGAUUCCUACUUGGGCUCUUUCCUUUAAUCUUCGGAGGCUGAGUUUGCCCAACUCAGGUUUAACCACCAAGGACUCUGAGAGCUGGCAGGUCUGAGUAACCCUGGUAACAAUUCUCUUCACCUUAUCAAAACCUGAGCUAAAACCAAUGCAUCAGCUGAUGAUGACAGCAGAGAGUGGCAGGGCUGAGGACCCAAAGUCAUUUCCCAGGCUGGCGGAGAAUAAACUGCCAGGGAGAAGAAUGAGAAGACAGGAGACAAACUGUUUGGAAAGCUAAAUCUUCCCUCUUAAUGAAUAAAGGUUUUUGCCUUGUCUUAAAGUUUCUGAGUCCUAAUUUUGGCAAAAUAAAUAACUUAUGGUAAUCUGGAAUUGUAUUUUGUAAUAUUAAGUGUUUUGAACCUCUAACAUUUACUUCCCAAAAUCAAACUUCAGUUUCAAAAUUGUCUCUCUUGACCCCUAGCUUUUGGAUGCUACAGAAGGCCCCUGAAGCAUCCAGAAGAGAGGUAAACAGGAUUAUUUAACAUGUUUAGGUACAUGGGAUUGGCCAAAUGGUGUUUAAUGAUCUUCAGGUUAUAUUUUAGUGAAUAAUAUUAAUAUAUUUUC
rnacentral:lncRNA from 10 species